rnacentral:rRNA from 1 species
GGUUAAGCGACUAAGCGUACACGGUGGAUGCCCUGGCAGUCAGAGGCGAUGAAGGACGUGCUAAUCUGCGAUAAGCGUCGGUAAGGUGAUAUGAACCGUUAUAACCGGCGAUUUCCGAAUGGGGAAACCCAGUGUGUUUCGACACACUAUCAUUAACUGAAUCCAUAGGUUAAUGAGGCGAACCGGGGGAACUGAAACAUCUAAGUACCCCGAGGAAAAGAAAUCAACCGAGAUUCCCCCAGUAGCGGCGAGCGAACGGGGAGCAGCCCAGAGCCUGAAUCAGUGUGUGUGUUAGUGGAAGCGUCUGGAAAGGCGCGCGAUACAGGGUGACAGCCCCGUACACAAAAAUGCACAUGCUGUGAGCUCGAUGAGUAGGGCGGGACACGUGGUAUCCUGUCUGAAUAUGGGGGGACCAUCCUCCAAGGCUAAAUACUCCUGACUGACCGAUAGUGAACCAGUACCGUGAGGGAAAGGCGAAAAGAACCCCGGCGAGGGGAGUGAAAAAGAACCUGAAACCGUGUACGUACAAGCAGUGGGAGCCUCUUUAUGGGGUGACUGCGUACCUUUUGUAUAAUGGGUCAGCGACUUAUAUUCUGUAGCAAGGUUAACCGAAUAGGGGAGCCGAAGGGAAACCGAGUCUUAACUGGGCGUUAAGUUGCAGGGUAUAGACCCGAAACCCGGUGAUCUAGCCAUGGGCAGGUUGAAGGUUGGGUAACACUAACUGGAGGACCGAACCGACUAAUGUUGAAAAAUUAGCGGAUGACUUGUGGCUGGGGGUGAAAGGCCAAUCAAACCGGGAGAUAGCUGGUUCUCCCCGAAAGCUAUUUAGGUAGCGCCUCGUGAAUUCAUCUCCGGGGGUAGAGCACUGUUUCGGCAAGGGGGUCAUCCCGACUUACCAACCCGAUGCAAACUGCGAAUACCGGAGAAUGUUAUCACGGGAGACACACGGCGGGUGCUAACGUCCGUCGUGAAGAGGGAAACAACCCAGACCGCCAGCUAAGGUCCCAAAGUCAUGGUUAAGUGGGAAACGAUGUGGGAAGGCCCAGACAGCCAGGAUGUUGGCUUAGAAGCAGCCAUCAUUUAAAGAAAGCGUAAUAGCUCACUGGUCGAGUCGGCCUGCGCGGAAGAUGUAACGGGGCUAAACCAUGCACCGAAGCUGCGGCAGCGACACUAUGUGUUGUUGGGUAGGGGAGCGUUCUGUAAGCCUGUGAAGGUGUACUGUGAGGUAUGCUGGAGGUAUCAGAAGUGCGAAUGCUGACAUAAGUAACGAUAAAGCGGGUGAAAAGCCCGCUCGCCGGAAGACCAAGGGUUCCUGUCCAACGUUAAUCGGGGCAGGGUGAGUCGACCCCUAAGGCGAGGCCGAAAGGCGUAGUCGAUGGGAAACAGGUUAAUAUUCCUGUACUUGGUGUUACUGCGAAGGGGGGACGGAGAAGGCUAUGUUGGCCGGGCGACGGUUGUCCCGGUUUAAGCGUGUAGGCUGGUUUUCCAGGCAAAUCCGGAAAAUCAAGGCUGAGGCGUGAUGACGAGGCACUACGGUGCUGAAGCAACAAAUGCCCUGCUUCCAGGAAAAGCCUCUAAGCAUCAGGUAACAUCAAAUCGUACCCCAAACCGACACAGGUGGUCAGGUAGAGAAUACCAAGGCGCUUGAGAGAACUCGGGUGAAGGAACUAGGCAAAAUGGUGCCGUAACUUCGGGAGAAGGCACGCUGAUAUGUAGGUGAAGUCCCUCGCGGAUGGAGCUGAAAUCAGUCGAAGAUACCAGCUGGCUGCAACUGUUUAUUAAAAACACAGCACUGUGCAAACACGAAAGUGGACGUAUACGGUGUGACGCCUGCCCGGUGCCGGAAGGUUAAUUGAUGGGGUCAGCGCAAGCGAAGCUCUUGAUCGAAGCCCCGGUAAACGGCGGCCGUAACUAUAACGGUCCUAAGGUAGCGAAAUUCCUUGUCGGGUAAGUUCCGACCUGCACGAAUGGCGUAAUGAUGGCCAGGCUGUCUCCACCCGAGACUCAGUGAAAUUGAACUCGCUGUGAAGAUGCAGUGUACCCGCGGCAAGACGGAAAGACCCCGUGAACCUUUACUAUAGCUUGACACUGAACAUUGAGCCUUGAUGUGUAGGAUAGGUGGGAGGCUUGGAAGUGUGGACGCCAGUCUGCAUGGAGCCGACCUUGAAAUACCACCCUUUAAUGUUUGAUGUUCUAACGUUGACCCGUAAUCCGGGUUGCGGACAGUGUCUGGUGGGUAGUUUGACUGGGGCGGUCUCCUCCUAAAGAGUAACGGAGGAGCACGAAGGUUGGCUAAUCCUGGUCGGACAUCAGGAGGUUAGUGCAAUGGCAUAAGCCAGCUUGACUGCGAGCGUGACGGCGCGAGCAGGUGCGAAAGCAGGUCAUAGUGAUCCGGUGGUUCUGAAUGGAAGGGCCAUCGCUCAACGGAUAAAAGGUACUCCGGGGAUAACAGGCUGAUACCGCCCAAGAGUUCAUAUCGACGGCGGUGUUUGGCACCUCGAUGUCGGCUCAUCACAUCCUGGGGCUGAAGUAGGUCCCAAGGGUAUGGCUGUUCGCCAUUUAAAGUGGUACGCGAGCUGGGUUUAGAACGUCGUGAGACAGUUCGGUCCCUAUCUGCCGUGGGCGCUGGAGAACUGAGGGGGGCUGCUCCUAGUACGAGAGGACCGGAGUGGACGCAUCACUGGUGUUCGGGUUGUCAUGCCAAUGGCACUGCCCGGUAGCUAAAUGCGGAAGAGAUAAGUGCUGAAAGCAUCUAAGCACGAAACUUGCCCCGAGAUGAGUUCUCCCUGACUCCUUGAGAGUCCUGAAGGAACGUUGAAGACGACGACGUUGAUAGGCCGGGUGUGUAAGCGCAGCGAUGCGUUGAGCUAACCGGUACUAAUGAACCGUGAGGCUUAACCUU